rnacentral:lncRNA from 1 species
AGCGUUGAGUUUUCUGACAGGUUGAUGAGUCCACGAUUUGGACUCAUCUAGGGCUAUAUUUUGAUAGAAUUAGUAUCUUCAAAUGCAUAUUUUGUCUCAAUAAUCUGAUGAAAAUCUUUAAGUUUCAGGUAUUUGGAGUUUGAGGGAAAGCAUGGACACUACUUAGCAAAAAGGAACAAUCGGUGAGUCGCCAUAAGGUUUUAUCCUCGCCUUUUGUUUCAGUGUGCUAAGCCCUGAAGGAAAGGAUCAAAUCUGCGGUGAAAAGGAGCAGUCGGCGUGUCGCCGAGUAGUUUCGUGAAGCAGUACUAUAUCGCCUAAUGAUCCAAAACACGACGAUGCUGAAGGAUAGAGCAAGACCGCCGAGUUGAUCGGCGAUCCCAACUAACUGCGCCUACUGAUCCGUUGCAGC